AUUAAAGGACAGCAGAAAAGACUUCUCCCGGAGGAAGAAGGGGACCCAAGAGGUGGAAUCCCAGUUUUUCUAGUUUCUUGAGGUGUAAAGUUAGUUGGCUAUUUGAGAUCUUUCCUUUUUCAGUACUUGGGAUUCAACCUUGGCUUUGUGCACACUGGCCAAGUGUUCUACCACAAAGUUACACACCCAGCCCUUUUUACUUUUAUUUAUUUUUGGUGCACUAGGUGUUCAACCCAGUGCCUUACAUGUGCUAGGCAAGCAUUCUACCACUCAGGUACAUCUUUGAAGAGCAGAGAAUUUGACAGCAAAUAUGUAGUAAGUACUUUUUUUUAGUUGUUGAUGGACACAAUACAUUUAUUUAUUUUUAUGUGGUGCCGAGGAUCAAACCCAGUGCCUCAUGUGCCAGGGAAGUACUCUACCACUGAGCCACAACUCCAGCCCCAAGUAUAUUUUUCUUCAUUGGUAUCCAUUCUACCCAUAUGACCAGGUAAGUGAAAGAAAAGUUUAAUCUGAAAUAAUCUGAUGUUUCCUGGUUGACUGUAUUUUAACAGACAGCUGGCCCCAAGAUUCUAAAGUGACUGUGGAGUUUGCAGUUUGAACAAGUGCUUCAGCCUGGCAACUUAGCAAGACUCUUUCUCAAAAUUUAAAAAGAGCUGGGGAUGUAGCCCAGUAGUAGACUCCUUGCCUAGCUUGUAUGAGGCUGUUUUCAAUCCCCAGUACACAAGAAAAGGGACUGGCUACAGUGCUUGGGUAGCAUGUGUGAGGCAUUGGGUUCAAUUCUUGGCACCGCAAAUAAAUAAAUAAAUAAAUAUUUAUAUAAAUAUAGUUGUUGAGUGGGAUGACAACAAGUAUGUGAAAGUUCGUGAAACCAGUACUAUCUUUUUGUAUAUAAAUUAGAAAUUUUCUGUAUUGAAAGGUUGAACUAUCAAGAGUGUGAUUUGUGUAACUUGCAAAUGGGUGUGGGAGGUGUCAGGUGUUUUCCUGGUCUGCUCUGUUCCCCAGAGCCCUCUUCAUAGUUAUAGGCAUUUCUAUUGGAAGAGCCUCAAGAAAUCCUGUUUGAGGGUUGGCGUUGUGGUUCAGUGGUAGAAUGCUCACCUAACACACGUGAGUCACUGGGUUUGAUCCUCAGCACCACAUAAAAAUGAAAUAAAGAUACUGUGUGUCCAUCUACAACUAAAAAAUAUUAAAAAUAAAAGAAAACUUGUUUGAUAAAUGCCAGCUUUUAUUUCUUGCCAUCUGACAUUUAUUAAGUUGAUGUUUUUCAGAUACCAGCCCUAGAACCCCAUCCCCAGUCAAGCUCUCAUUAUUCCUCCGGCUUCCUCAGACAGAAAUACCAUCCCUUUGGCCAGCAUCAGAAGUCCUACCUUGCCGGGCACAGUGGUGCACACCUGUAGUCACAGCGGCUCUGGAGGCUGAGGCAGGAGGAUCGCAAGUUCAAAGCCAGCCUCUGCAAAAGCAAGGAACUAAGCAACUCAGUGAGACCCUGUCUCUAAAUAAAAUACAAAAUAGAGCUGGGGAUGUGACUCAGUGGCUGAGUGCCCCUGAAUUCAAUCCCCAGUACCACUCACCCCCCAGAAAAAGGAGUCCUACCUUCCCUCCUCUAAAACCCUAGACUGCUUGAAAAAAACCUCAGUUUUCUUACCUCUAAAAACAGAAUAAUAAAGAUAGUCCACUAAAUGAAUUGAGACAUGGGAAACACAUAGAAAAACAUCUGGAGGUUGGCAUGGAGUUGAUAAAUGUUAGCAUUUCUUGUGUGUGCCAUAUCAUUAUUGGGGACACAGCAACAGAUAUGUCAUAUUUUUUCUCGGGCAUCAUAGAGUUAACACACAGUAAACUAGAAAUUGCUUUAUGAUGUAAUAUUAGGGAGUGGCAAGUCCUAAGAAAAAUAAGCAGUUUAAGUUAGAGUGAGGACACAUGCCAAUUUGUCCAAGGAAGGCAACUGGGAACCAGAGACUUGAACUUAGUAGGCAAGGAGGCUGUCUGCUCUGCAUCUCUACUACAUAGGCCACAUACGUAAGUCAAUCCAUCUUGGCAGAACUUCCUGUGACCCUUGGAACACAGCAUGGAAAGCUCAAGAUGGGAUGCUAGCUAUCAGGCCAUUUCUCACUUGCCUCCCUGUCUCCCAGAGUGUACUGGUCUUACCAGCUUCUAGGGGAAAUAUUUUCUACCUUUCUCUUGACUCAGGGAUAUAGAACUAUAGCUUCACCUUGAAACUGGCUCUGUAGCCAGCUUGUGUCAUGUCAGC
rnacentral:lncRNA from 1 species